UAUUAGUGAGGGCCCUCAUGGGGUUUUUGAUUAUGUGAUUACUUGGCCGUUUUUUUAAUGAUUAUUUGAUUAUUAAGCCAAAUAUUUCAUGAUUAUUUGAUUACCUAGGACUGUAUUUUUAGUUUAUGAUUAUUUGAUUACUAAAGAUAAGCAAAUAUUUAAUGAUUAUGUGAUUAUAUUGGCAAAAAAAUGGUGAUUAUGUGAUUACUAGGACCCCCCCAUGAGGGGCCUCAUUAGUUGUU
rnacentral:lncRNA from 1 species